rnacentral:rRNA from 1 species
AAACCAGUAUCUCAAGUGGUCAGGAGGAUUAUUGGGCCUAAAGCAUCCGUAGCCUGUUCUAUAAGUUUCCGGUUAAAUCCACUAGCUCAACUAGUGGGCUGCCGAAAAUACUGCAGAGCUAGGGAGUGGGAGAGGUAGACGGUACUCGGGAGGAAGUGGUAAAAUGCUUUGAUCUCUCGAUGACCACCUGUGGCGAAGGCGGUCUACCAGAACACGUCCGACGGUGAGGGAUGAAAGCUGGGGGAGCAAACCGGAUUAGAAACCCGAGUAGUCC